GACAGAGGGUGCAAACGUUGUUCGGAAUUACUGGGCGUAAAGCGAGUGUAGGCGGUCUCAUAAGUCGGGUGUGAAGGCCCCGGGCUCAACCCGGGAAGUGCACUCGAAACUGCGAGGCUAGAGUAUCGGAGAGGUUGGUGGAAUUCUCGGUGUAGAGGUGAAAUUCGUAGAUAUCGAGAGGAACACCGGCGGCGAAGGCGGCCAACUGGACGAAUACUGACGCUGAGACUCGAAAGCGUGGGGAGCAAACAGG
rnacentral:rRNA from 1 species